GGGCCACCAGCGCAGGCUCUCCUCCUCACAGAAGCCGGGAGCUGGUCAUCCAAGAAGAAGCAGCCUCGUUUGUUUCGGGUGUCAUCGAACAGCCAGGUCUUGCUUACUCCUGCCUUGGGAAGUCCUUCCCAAUGUCUAACCAAGAUCUGUACCGCUGAAGUACCAGUUCUUUGACCCUCGGCUUGACAUGGCUAAUUUGAGAGGCACAGGGAGGAACUGACCUUGAUUUGGCACCCGCUUGCUUGUGUAAGCCCUUUUUUUCUUUUUUUGGUCAUUUUUUGUCUUUUAGGGGCCACACCCGUGGCAUAUGGAGGUUCCCAGGCUAGGGGUCCAAUCGGAGUGGUAGCUGCUGGCCUACACCACAGCUCCCAGCAACGCCGGAUCCUUAACCCACUGAGCAAGGCCAGGGAUCGAACCCAAGUCCUCGUGGAUGCUAGGUGGGUUUGUUAACCACUGAGCCACAAUGGGAACUCCCUAUGUAAACCCUUUCUUAGCCAUUCUUAUCUCAGUGAAUCUUCCAACAGUCCUGAAAACUGAGUGAUACUGUCGCCACUAUACAAAGACAAUCAGAGCCCCAAGUCACAGGACUGGUAAGUGAAGCUGGGCUUCAGGUGGGUCCUGGUGGACCCCAGAGCACAUGCGGUCUCCCCCUCCUGUACUGACUGCCUAAAGAAUAUGUUCCAAACACAGUCAGGAACACCAAGAGGAGAUGGGACCAGGUAGGCAGGGAGCCUUCUCUGCAAGUCCUCAGGGGGAGAAGGGGCGUUCCCUCUCAGGCGCAGGAGUGAAGUCAGAGGAAUGCUACAGCAGCCCUUGAGGAGUGAAGGCAGGCCUGGGGAAGGGGGCACAGGAGCCCUAGAAGUCAAUAAAAUCCUCCCAGCUGGGCUCCUGGCCAAGGGAAUAUGCUUCCCAUCUUCCUGAAGCCAAGUACCUGGGGCCACCACCGCCUCUCACCUGCUUGAGAUCUGAGUUCCCGCCCUGGGCAUUCUCCCCCACCCCCACUCCACGGCUCUGGGUAGAGCACCUCGAAGAGAUAUCUAGACUCAGCCACUGUCAUGGUAGCCCCUUGGAGAGCCCUCCCUGGUCUCUCACCUCUCCUGGCCGCUGGACGGUUACCUUCUGCCUCCUGCUAAGGUCUCCAUCCAAAGAGAAGCUCUUUCACUCUUGACCUAUUUAUUUUCUUUUCAGACCAAAAAGAAGAACCUACUUCACCCACUUGUCCUGGGUUCCCUCUGAGACGCUGUCUUGAUUGACUGAAAGAUGAGGCUAAACUCUAGCAAGUUGAGUGGCUCCUCCCAGAAUCCUUUAAGCAGGAUAGAAGUGGGGAGGCCCCAGCCUCCAGCCUGGGCAGCCCUUUAGACUGGAGCCGCCUGGCAAAGA
rnacentral:lncRNA from 1 species